rnacentral:rRNA from 1 species
AUGAACAGUGCGAAACCCGUUAAGCUGUGCUAUAUAAAAAUCCUUGGGGUAGCACAGCAGUUUUCGUGGCGAAUUAAGGUUUCACCCUCGCAUAUAGACGACGGUAAGUCCGUGACUAGAAUGGAACAGCUGACCGGUGAGCAGGAGGACCUGUGCCUGGAGCUCACCCUCCGCCCCAUGGCGUCCGAGCCCCGCCCCGGCUUCUUCCUCUGCGUGUACUGCAACCGCAAGUUCGUCACCUCGCAGGCGCUCGGCGGCCACCAAAACGCACAUAAGCACGAGCGCAACGUCGCCAAGCGCCGCCGGCAAGCCGCUGCCGCUCGGCAGGGUGCGCCUGCUGCAGCGCCAGACGAGAGGCUGCCCUGGCACGGCGGCGGUUUCAUGUCUGCGGCCGGGACGGCUGCUCCUGCUGUCAAGGCGCACAAGCACGGCAGGAGCAGGCCGGAGCACGGUGGCGCCAUGGUCGACGUCGACUUGUCUCUUCGUCUAUGA